AUUAACUAACCAAAAUCCAACGUCGAGCCAACGUCUCAAGCCAAUGUCACACUGACAUCAAAUACUGAUCUUAAGUCGUCAGGUAUGGCAACCAAAAUCCAACGUUUUCUAGACGUCAUAACGGCAACGUCGAAACAACGUCAAAUUAAAACAUCAUUUGACGUUGAUCUGUAGUUAGUUUUAGGUUGUGGCAUUAACUAACCAAAAUCCAACGUCGAGCCAACGUCUCAAGCCAACGUCACAUUGACAUCAAAUACUGAUAUUAAGUCGUCAGGUAUGGCAACCAAAAUCCAACGUUUUCUAGACGUCCUAAUGGCAACGUCCAAACAACGUCAAAUUAAAACAUCAUUUGACGUUGAUCUGUAGUUAGUUUUGGUUGUGGCAUUAACUAACCAAAAUCCAACGUCGAGCCAACGUCUCAAGCCAAUGUCACACUGACAUCAAAAACUGAUGUUUAGUCGUCAGGUAUGGCAACCAAAAUCCAAUGUUUUCUAGACGUCAUAAUGGCAACGUCCAAACAACGUCAAAUUAAAACAUCAUUUGACGUUGAUCUGUAGUUAGUUUUAGGUUGUGGCAUUAACUAACCAAAAUCCAACGUCGAGCCAACGUCUCAAGCCAAUGUCACACUGACAUCAAAAACUGAUGUUUAGUCGUCAGGUAUGGCAACCAAAAUCCAAUGUUUUCUAGACGUCAUAAUGGCAACGUCCAAACAACGUCAAAUUAAAACAUCAUUUGACGUUGAUCUGUAGUUAGUUUUAGGUUGUGGCAUUAACUAACCAAAAUCCAACGUCUAGUCAACGUCUCAAGCCAAUGUCACACUGACAUCAAAUACUGAUUUUAAGUCGUCAGGUAUGGCAACCAAAAUCUAAACGUUUUCUAGACGUCAUAAUGGCAACGUCCAAACAACGUCAAGUUAAAACAUCAUUUGACGUGGAUCUGUAGUUAGUUGUAGGUUGUGACAUUAACUAACCAAAAUCCAACGUCGAGCCAACGUCUCAAGCCAACGUCACACUGACAUCAAAUACUGAUAUUAAGUCGUCAGGUAUGGCAACCACAAUCCAAAAUUUUCUAGACGUCAUAAUUGCAACGUCCAAACAACGUCAAAUUAAAACAUCAUUUGACGUUGAUCUGUAGUUAGUUUUAGGUUGUGGCAUUAACUAACCAAAAUCCAACAUCAAGACAAUGUCUCAAGCCAACGUCAGAUUGACAUCAAAUAAUGAUAUUUAGUCAUCAGGUAUGGCAACCAAAAUCCAACGUCUACAAAGCAUCAUAAUGGCAACGUCCAAACAACGUAAAAUUAAAACAUUGUUUGACUUUGAUCUUUAGUUUGUUUUUAGGUUGUGUUGUGAUAUUAACUAACCUAAACCCAACGUCAAGCCAACGUCUCAGGCCAACGUCACAUUGACAUCAAAUACUGAUAUUUAGUCGUCAGGUAUGGCAACCAUAAUCCAACGUUUUCUAGACAUCAUAAUGGCAACGUCCACACAACGUCCAAUUAAAACAUCAUUUGAUGUUGAUCUGUAGUUAGUUUUAGGUUGUGGCAUUAACUAACCAAAAUCCAACGUCGAGCCAAUGUCUCAAGCCAACGUCACAUUGACAUCAAAAACUGAUAUUAAGUUGUCAGGUAUGGUAACCAAAAUCCAACGUUUUCUAGACGUCAUAAUGGCAACGUCCAAACAACGUCAAAUUAAAACAUCAUUUGACGUUGAUCUGUAGUUAGUUUUAAGCUGUGGCAUUAACCAACAAAAAUCCAGCGUCAAGACAACGUCUCAAGCCAACGUCAGGUUGACAUCAAAUACUGAUAUUUAGUCGCCAGGUAUGGCAACCAAAAGUCAUAAUGUUAAUGUCCAAACAACGUCAAAUUCUAACGUCAUUUGACUUUGAUCUUUAGUUUGUUUUUAGGUUGUGACAUUAACUAACCAAAAUCCAACGUCGAGCCAACGUCUCAAGCCAACGUCAGACUGACAUCAAAUACUGAUCUUAAGUCGUCAUGUAUGGCAACCAAAAUCCAACGUUAUCUAGACGUCAUAAUGGCAACGUACAAACAACGUCAAAUUAAAACAUCAUUUGACGUUGAUCUGUAGUUAGUUUUAGGUUGUGGCAUUAACUAACUAAAAUCCAACGUCGAGCCAACGUCUCAAGCCAACGUCACACUGACAUCAAAUACUGAUAUUAAGUCAUCAGGUAUGGCAACCAAAAUCCAACAUUUUCUAGACGUCAUAAUGGCAACGUCCAAACAACGUAAAAUUAAAACAUAAUUUGACGUUGAUCUGUAGUUAGUUUUAGGUUGUGACAUUAACUAACCAAAAUCCACCGUCGAGCCAACAUCUCAAGCCAAUGUCACAUUGACAUCAAAAACUGAUGUUUAGUCGUCAGGUAUGGCAACCAAAAUCCAACGUCUUCAAGACGUCAUAAUGUUAAUGUCGAAACAACGUCAAAUUAUAACGCCAUUUGACUUUGAUCUUUAGUUUGUUUUUAGGUUGUGACAUUAACUAACCUAAACCCAACGUCGAGCCAACGUCUCAGGCCAACGUCACAUUGACAUCAAAUACUGAUAUUAAGUCGUCAGGUAUGGCAACCAUAAUCCAACGUUUUCUAGACGUCAUAAUGGCAACGUCCACACAACUUCAAAUUAAAACAUCAUUUGAUGUUUAUCUGUAGUUAGUUUUAGGUUGUGGCAUUAGCAAAUCAAAAUCCAACGUCGAGUCAACCUCUUAAACCAACGUCAGAUUGACAUCAAAUACUGAUAUUUAGUCAUCAGGUAUGGCAACCAUAAUCCAGUGUUUUCAAGGCGUCAUAAUGGUAACAUCCAAACAACGUCAAAUUAUAACAUCAAAUUAUUUUAUUUUUUUUAAUUGUUAUUUAAUAUAGUGGUUUCACUUUAUUGUUAUGGUUCCUUUUGAAAUUUAUGUUGUUGCGUUGUUGCACCUACAGUCGUGGCCAAAAAUAUCAGCACCCUUGGUAAAUAUGAUCAAAGAAGGGUGUGAAAAUUCAUCUGCUUUAAUCGUUUUGCACUUUUAUACAAAAAAUUCACAAAAAUGUAUUCUUUCAUUGGAUAAUAAGAAUUUAAAACAGGGGGAAAUAUCAUUAUGAAAUAAAUGUUUUUUUUUUUUUUCUAAUACACAUUGGCCACAAUUAAUGGCACCCUUUUAUUCAGUACUUUUUGAAACCUCCAUUUGCCAGAUUAACAGGUCUAUUUUUUUUUCUAUAAUGCCUGAUGAGGUUAGAGAACACCUGACAAGAGAUCAGAGACCAUUCUUUCAUCCAGAAUCACUCCAGACCCUUUAGAUUCCCAGCUCCAUGUUGGUGCUUCUUCAGUUCACUCCUCUCAUGUUCUGUAAGGUUCAGGUCAGAGGACUGGAAUGGCUAUAGCAGAAGCUUGGUUUUGAGCUCAGUGACCCAUUUCUGUGUUGUUUUCGAGGUUUGUGUUUGGAUUAUUGUAUGGUUGAAAGAUCAAAACAUGGACCAUUAUAAGAUUACUAACAGUAACUUACUGAUUUUUUAUCUGUUGGUAUGUGAUAGAAUCCAUGAUGCCAUGUUUCUAAACAAGAUGUCUAGGGCCUCCAGCAGAAAUAUAGGCCCAGAAAAAAAACAAAUACAGCAGUAUAUUUCAUUGUGCACAUGGGUUACUUUUUUCUCUCUGUGUUCACCUAACCCAUCUUGAGUGUUUGCUGCUAAAAAAAUCUCAUUUUUUUUGGUUUCAUCUGAUCAUAGAAGCCAUUCACAUUUAAAGUUCCAGUCUUGGCUGAUAACUGAAUUAUGCUUUAGUUUGUUUUUGAAUGAGCUAGGAUAAUUUUUCUUGUAACCCUCCCAAACAACAUGUGUUGAUGUAGGUUCUGUUUGACUUUUUUUAAAAGGUUUUCUGAACCAGAGACUCCGCUAUUUGCUGCAGUUCUCCAGCUGUGACCUUUGGCGAGUCUUUAGCUACUCAAACUCUCCUUCUCACCACACAUUAGGACGAUAUAGACAAGUCCUCUUCCAAGCAGUUUUGUAACAUUUUAUGUUGAUUGGAGAUUCUUAAUUAUUGCCCUGAUGGUGGAAAUGGGAAUUUUCACUGCUCUAGCUCUUCUCUUAAAGCCACUUCACCAAUUUGUUAAGCUCAAUUAUCUCAAUUAUCACAUCAGAAAUACAUUCUUUGGUUUUUCUCAUUGUGAUGAAUGAUUAAGGGAAUUUGGGCUUUGUUUUCCCUCCUCUUUAUAUUUCUGUGAAACAGGUAGCCAUAGCCAUAGCUGGAUAAUUUCAUGUUUAUAAUCAAGCUUGAGUGCUCAAAAUUGUGAAUUUGAAUGGGAAUAUACUUCAGAGAUAUUUUACUCAUAAAAAUUUCUAGGGGGGCCAAUAAUUGUGUCCAAUGAGCAUUUGAGAAAAAACUUUUCAUUUCUUAUUAUCCAAUGAAAGGAUACAUACCUUCUUUGGUCACUUUUACAAAGGGUGCCAAUAUUUUGGGCCACGACUGUACCUGCUUUCAUUAGAGUGUUAGAAUAAGUUGAUGUUCUUGCAAAGUUACUUGUAGUCAGUCAAACAUAUUCUGGGAGAGCAUCAGAAUUAGAAAUUAAGCAGACAGUCUAUUAGUACUAUAAUGAGAGUUAGUUGACAUGUAAGUGCAAUACUUAUAUUGUCAAUAGAAUAUUCAAAAGGGACUAUGAAAAUAAAGUGUUAUGACUUUAAUUUGACCCAUGACCAUUCAUGAACCAUAACAGUUUAUAUAAAUUGAUAUCCAAUCUGUCACAGUUUUCUGUCUUUCUGUCACAGUCUUAUGUCUUUCUGUCACAGUCUUCUGUGAGUGUUGUGUUUGUUUGGUGCCAUGUGCUUUUGUCCUGUCUCUUUUCUGACCCCGCCCACCUUGUCACCUCAACGUCUUGUAAGUGUUACUGGUUCUCGUGUUUUUUUGCAUCUUGGUUUUGUUUUUGCCGUGUUGGCUUUUUUGUUCUUAGACUCCAGAGGGUUAAAGUUAAUCUUCCCUGCAUUUGGACCCAGACCCUGUUCUUUCUUUGCUGGCCCGUGACACAAUCUUGUUUGCAAUAUAAUGCAAUUCAAACACUCUCAAACAUGUUAAGACAUAUUUAGGAGGAUCAAAACAGUAUUGCUUACUUAAUUCUGGGCUGGAAACAUUGUUUAUCAAAACAUAAACUUGUUGAUCUUUGUGUUGGAAAGUAAAGUGAGUGCAUGCAGACAAUGCAAGCAUUACUGUUUAUUGUACAGUCUUAUAAUUAUGCAAUAUAAAUGUCUAAUUCCUUUGCUAUAAUUUAGUCUGUUCUUAUAUAUGUUUUUUUUAAAUAUAUAAAAUAAUUGAUCAGAUUGA